rnacentral:rRNA from 1 species
GACGGAGGAUGCAAGCGUUAUCCGGAAUGAUUGGGCAUAAAGCGUCCGCAGGUGGCAGUUCAAGUCUGCUGUCAAAGACCGGGGCUUAACUUCGGAAAGGCAGUGGAAACUGAACAGCUAGAGUAUGGUAGGGGCAGAGGGAAUUCCUGGUGUAGCGGUGAAAUGCGUAGAUAUUGGGAAGAACACCGGUGGCGAAAGCGCUCUGCUGGACCUGCACUGACACUGAGGGACGAAAGCUAGGGGAGCGAAAGGG